ensembl:lncRNA
AAAAUCUUGUAGUUUUUGAUGAAUCUUGAGGUCUGACAUCUGAAUGUAACACGGGGAAGGGCCUUCAAAUAGUUGCCAUGUAUAGUCACCACAGACUGAAAGAGUAAAUCAAGGGACUUGGCCGUAAGUCAGGACAAUGGAUUACAGAGCUUCAGUAGAAAUAUGAAAAUGUCCUAGCUCAUCUACCUUUGGUGUUUUCAUCUUCCACCAUACUGGAAAAGUGAGGAAAGCAGAGUAGGCCCUUGUAUUGUGUCUCUGGCUCUUAGCAUCCAGGAAGGUAAGGAGACAGGGUAAACGGGCUUUUACAGUUUUACUGCUUUGUUUCAUGUUGGUACCGUCACAUACCAGGCCCUUGGGAUACUGAAGAACUAGCCUCUUAAACGUGGAGAAGACUUGUUUUCUCUCUCCCAGUCAUUAUCCAAGAUGUUUGGGUUCACAGCUUUCUAUAUGCCAAAAGAUGUGCAUCUGCACUUCAAAGAACUGCUCGGUGUAUUUAAAACCAAGGGAUAGUUUUUUCAGCUCUUCCUGGGACACCUUGUGCCCUUGUGACCGUACACAGAAGAUAGACCACAGAUUACUAUAGACUUUAGACCACGGACUGAGAAAUGAGUGAGAAAACCUGAGAAAGCCAGAUGACUGGUUGUGGAGGCCACCUGUGACUAAAUAGUGGGGUCUUGUGAGCCUCGAUCGAAUUUUUCUUGCUCUUGACAUUCAAAGAAAAUGAGGGGCUGAGAUAAAAUGUUUGGUUUUCAUCUUAACUGCAAAACUUAAAGGAACUAAUGGGGAGAAAAACAAUAAAUCUGAGAUGUAGUUUUUAAAUGGACUUAAACUUUGAGUUGAGUGCCUUACUCUUCUUUUUAAAAGUACUUUUAAAAAAUUGCAGGUUAAUUUAACAUGAGUCACUGAGUGUAACGUGCAGCUUGGUUUGAAACAUGGGCUAAAAGAAUAGUUUUCUGUAAAUUGUGGCAGCUUUUGCUACAGAUCAGGCUUGGGGCUGUGUACCUGAAUCUGAACUCAGCUGGCCUCGUGAACACUGUAUUAUGCCAACCUGAGCCAAAACUCAACUUCAUUAAAUUUAAUCAAAAUUUGUCUUUAUUAAGUGAGCCUCAUUAGGAACUGAAUUCAUUCUCGCAAAAGCAUUGAAGAUAGGCUAAAAUCUAUUUUCCACGUCGCCACUGUCCUUCAUACAGAGCGUGCGGAAUAUAAAGUUACUUUUAAAACCAAACUCUUAGAAAUGAAACUGGAGGAUCAUCUUCAAGUUAACAGCUCUUUUCUGCUUCAGUGGUGACCUGCUGAACCCUGUAUGUCAUUUUAAUAUCCAAGUCCAGAUCUCCCAGAGUCUCAUUUGGCCGCCAGUGGUCAAUGGAAAGAAGAACGUGGUCAAAUGACUGAAAUUUCCAGCAAUUGGCAAGGGAAGGCUGGAAGAUGAGUUCCAAGAUCCUCUUAACCUAUAGCAAAUUCAAGGCCAUGCCCCGCUACCUGAGACCCUGCUUCAAUCUAGAGGGAAUGCUAAUUUAAUCAGACUUGCUCUCGGGAAAAUCCAUGAAAGGCCUAGUAUAUGACAAAUGAAUCUGGAACUUAAAAGCCUCUGUAGCCAUAGUGCUUUGAUAUGUUUGCACAGCUCCUACUGGAGCGAGUUCCGCAGCACACUUCCCACCAGCACCACGAGAAUCAGAAUGGAAGAGAAGAGUUUAGCAUUAGUCUCAUGGACUGGAGUCUGCACAUAGACUCUAGAACAGUCUGCCUUUCAACCACACUCUCUCUGUUCCUCUCACUUUCUACUCUUCCCUUUAUUGGUACUAUAGAAGCUGUUUUCUUACAAGUUGAAUGUAUGAUAAUGGUUCUGUCUGAGUGACUCAUGUUGAAUAAAG